AUGCAUGCGUAUGUUCAUUGUAGCACUAUUCUCCUUCAUUCUAUCAUAAAGAUACAUGCAUGCGUAUGUAUGUUUGUGGAGGAACUACACAGUCCUGGACUGCUUACUUUGGGAUUUUGUUUAUGUAAGACAGAAUGAACUUCUAGCUUGUUUAAACUGUUGUCACUUUGAGUUUUCUUUUACUUGGCAGCUUAACCUAAUCCUGAUUGAUAGAGAGCUAUCGGGAAGGACAACCACUGGGCUUCUGAGAUGACCGGCUGGAAGCCUGAACCCGCCGGAUGGUCAUCUUGCCACCGCAUGGGAAGGAAGGUUGCCUGAAUAAAGCUGACAUAGAAGGAGGCAAGCUUCCUGAGGCCUCAACCAGGAGCAGAUGCCAGCACCAUGCUUCUUGCACAACCUGCAGAACCAGAAACCAAAAUAAACUUUUCUUUAUAAAUUA